UCGGAGAUUGCGGAUCUGCGGUUUACCUGAUGGAACAUUCUUCAUCUUCUACUUCUUCCGUUCUUCGUCUUCGUCUCCCACAGAUUUACAUCGGGUAAUUAGAGAUUGGCCAUAAAAAUCAGUUGUAAUUUGUAAAUCAUCUUACCAUGUCUUCUCAAUUUCUAAAACUAACAAGGCAAUUAGAGAUUUACAACUGAUUUUUAUGGUCAGAUGAUUUCAAAUUGUACUAGCAAGAGAGUGAAGCAUCAGAUUGGUACGACUAAGAACAUACACAUGCUUUAGUUUUAUAGCGACUCUGGCUGUAAUUUAUCAUGCUUUCAGCCAGUUUUUAUGGAGCCUGGAACCUUUCAAUGGAAAAGCAUGGGGUUCAGAAGCUUUUCCAUGUCCAAGCCCCUCUGUGAGACCUUACCAAUUUCCUGGAGUUCAGAGUUUUCUGCAAUUGAAAUUAUAGCAGUAGGAAGAAAGUAGAAUGUGAUGGAAUGCUAUAAGUUUUUCUGCCUAGUACACAAGGGCUUACUAUGGCAGUAACUUCGAAGCUCCAUAGAGAUCAUUGUCGCCGGAUUGACCUAUAAACUUUACCAAGCAAGCUGCUGGAUUGUUCUUGAUGAGUUAGCUGAAUUUGACCUGCUGCAUUUUUUCCCUCUCAGGCCUACUUUAAAUCCUCAAUUUGGGCACGAUGGAUCAAGGAAUUUCUUGAAAGAUCAUGGUGAACAUAGAACUGCAUAAAGAAAUUAUUGAACUCAUGGAAUUCACAGGCCUACUUAACAAAGCAAAACAAGAAGAAAGUGAAGGUCGUUACAUUAGAGAUGUCAAAGCCCGCGGAGAUGCCCGUUAGUCCGCAAAGCUUACGGAGCGGGCAUGGGCAGUGAUACGUCGCCCACCGCCAGUGGCGGACCUGUCCGCGGCGGAUCACUGAAAAUACGAGACCAACACGGUCAGUCCGUUCGAACGCGGGCAUGCCCGUUUGACAUCUCUACUUAUAACUAUAAUGAAAGAUUUGAACUCUAAUACUUCCUUAAAAGGCUAGUGAUCAUCUGGAUAAAUAAAAUCAUAACAAAAAUAUUCAAAAGUUAUAUAUACAAAAUGACAAGACCAAUAUCCCUCUGUUUUACUUUUCUUGUUCUCAAAGUCUGCCUAUUUUCACAUGUAUAUGUUCAUAGCAAGAUCAAAUGUAAUUGUUUUUUUUUUUUAUGUAUACAACUUUUCUCUUCUUACGCAUCAAUGAUGAAAUCUGUUUACAUUGUA